GAUGAAGAACGUAGCGAAAUGCGAUAAGUAAUGUGAAUUGCAGAAUUCAGUGAAUCAUCGAAUCUUUGAACACAUCUUGCGCUCCUUGGUAUUCUGAGGAGCAUGCCUGUUUGAGUGUCAUUAAAUUCUCAACUACACUGACUUUGAAUUGGUGUGGCUUGGAUUUGGGGGGAAAAUUGUUGUGGGCUUUUUGUAUAGUCUGCUCCCCUGAAAUUGAUUAGCGGUACCUUUGUGGAACUGUCUACAGGUGUGAUAAUUAUCUACAUCUUAGACAUCUGCUGGAAUGCUGCUCUCUAAACCUUACUUGUAUUGACAAUCUUGACCUCAAAUCAGGUAGGACUACCCGCUGAACUUAAGCAUAUCAAUAAGCGGAGGA
rnacentral:misc_RNA from 1 species